rnacentral:lncRNA from 1 species
CACCUAUACCGUUGCUUUAUAAUACAUAUUUCUCUUUUAUUUAAUUUAUUAUUUUUUUGUAUAGAGCAAGCUGUACACGUAAACAUACAGAUAAAUACACAUACACAUACAUAUAUAUAUAUAUAUAUAUAUAUGUAUUAUUUCUAUUUAAUACUUUUUUUUAUUAGAUAUUCUUAUAUAAAAAAAAAGGCAUUAAAAGAAGCUAUGUUUUUUAUUGCUAGAACUGUUCCUUCAAGGAUAGAAUAUAACAGAAAAGAAAUAAUAACACACGAAAGUAAUGCAGUUUUUGCAUUUAAAUAUCCUGAUAACAUAUGUCCGGUUGUUAUAGCAACUGAUGAUUAUCCUGAACGGGUAGCUUUUUAUAUGAUUAAUGAAAUAUACAUGAAUUUCACGCGUACUAUACCUAAGAACGAAUGGUCAGAAAUAACACAGGAUAAUAAAAUAAGUUAUAAUUUAAAUUCGUUUUUGGAAAAAUAUAUGGACCCUUUGACAUGUGAUGCCAUAGCUCAGACAAAUAUAAAAAUUAAUGAAAGCAUAGAAAAUGUCAGAGUAACUAUGGAUGCGCUAAUCCGGAAUAGAGAAAAAUUAGACGUUCUAGUUGAUAAAAGUAAAGACCUGUCAAGUAAGUAUUAAUUUUCCUACCAAUUUAUUUGUAUCUACGUAUAUAUGUGUAUAUAGGAAUACACCUAUAUAAUAUUUAUACACAUGAUGUUAUAUUUUUACGUUUUAUUUAUGUGGUUAGCUGUGUAAAGAAGUGUUUUCUUUUUUUAGAAUAUUUAUGCAGUGAUUAUUCGUAUAAUUACUUUAUUUAUCUAUUUUUUUUUUAUUAUUACUUUUUUUUAUUAUUACUUUUUUUUAGCUACUACGAAGCAAUUGUUUAAGCAAAGCAAAAAACUUAAAAGAAAACAAUGUUGUAGGAUUAUGUGAUUAAUUUUUGACUAAGCCCACUUAUGUACACUUAUACAUACAUUUGCAUAUAUAUAUAUAUAUAUAUAUUUCUCUUAAUACUGUAUCUCUCUUAAAUUUACUUAACUCUAAAUUUGAUAACUGUUUUGCUUAUACAUAUGCCUAACCAUUUGCUUAUAUAUGUGAUUGUACGUUUGCUUAUACAUUUGCCUAAUCAUAUACUUAUCCGAUUGUCUAACCAUAAGUUUAUUUCAUUAUUUAUGUUUUAUUUUAUUUUAUUUUUUUUGUUAAUAUGUUAAUUCAGACAUUUUCAUAUUUAUCACAAUAUACUUUCACAAUUCUUUUCGUUUAUAUUUUAAUUUUGAAUAGAAAAAAAACAUAAAUUUAAAGUUUAUAAUUU